rnacentral:rRNA from 1 species
GACGAACGCUGGCGGCGUGCUUAACACAUGCAAGUCGAACGGUAACGCGGGGCAACCUGGCGACGAGUGGCGAACGGGUGAGUAAUGCAUCGGAACGUGCCCAGUAGUGGGGGAUAGCCCGGCGAAAGCCGGAUUAAUACCGCAUACGACCUACGGGUGAAAGCGGGGGACCGCAAGGCCUCGCGCUAUUGGAACGGCCGAUGUCAGAUUAGGUAGUUGGUGGGGUAAAGGCCUACCAAGCCUACGAUCUGUAGCUGGUCUGAGAGGACGACCAGCCACACUGGGACUGAGACACGGCCCAGACUCCUACGGGAGGCAGCAGUGGGGAAUUUUGGACAAUGGGGGCAACCCUGAUCCAGCCAUGCCGCGUGCGGGAAGAAGGCCUUCGGGUUGUAAACCGCUUUUGUCAGGGAAGAAAUCCUCCGGGCUAACACCCUGGGGGGAUGACGGUACCUGGAGAAUAAGCACCGGCUAACUACGUGCCAGCCGCCGCGGUAA